rnacentral:tRNA from 1 species
AGCGGGAUAGAGCAGAUAGCAGCUCGCCAAUUUCAUAGGUUGGAGGUCGUUGGUGCAAAUCCAACUCCCGCUA